CAACAUAAAGCAAUAGUGAAUGAAUCUAAAAUACAGAUUCACCCAGAAAGACUCAGUCCUUCAAUUUGCAUGCUGCAGAUUCUCCUGUAUAUGAUUCAUUGUCGGAAUAAAUAAGAACUGAAGAAGAGUAAACUAUGAGCAAUGUGCCGGAAACAAUUUCUUCAUCUCCAAAAGAAAGGAAAGUAAAUAUUAAAUUCUGCUGUUCCUCAAGAAAAUGGUUGGGGAUGAGAACUUUCAGUCUUUCUCUAAGACAGGGACGCUGGCAGGGAAGUCAAGCUUCAGAUGCCCUGCAUGGUAAGUCUGCUUUGUUUGGCUUUCAGCAUCAAUAUUACUAACAGACUUCCAUUAUGAAUUUUGUACAUGUUUGUUUAAUCAUGUCAUCUGUAGUACACUGUUCUCUCCUUUUUGUUUGAAAGUUUAUAGUCUUCUGAUCCAAAUACAUUGUAAAAACUUGCUUGUUUUUCACAGAGCACCUACAUAUGAC
rnacentral:lncRNA from 1 species